UAAGGAAUAUUGGUCAAUGGACGCAAGUCUGAACCAGCCAUGCCGCGUGAAGGAUGAAGGUCCUCUGGAUUGUAAACUUCUUUUAUCUGGGACGAAAACGGGAUUUUUAUCUCAAUUGACGGUACCAGAGGAAUAAGCACCGGCUAACUCCGUGCCAGCAGCCGCGGUAAUACGGAGGGUGCGAGCGUUAUCCGGAUUUACUGGGUUUAAAGGGUGCGUAGGUGGGCUUAUAAGUCAGUGGUGAAAUCUCCAAGCUUAACUUGGAAACUGCCGUUGAUACUAUAGGUCUUGAAUUAUCUGGAGGUAAGCGGAAUAUGUCAUGUAGCGGUGAAAUGCUUAGAUAUGACAUAGAACACCAAUUGCGAAGGCAGCUUACUACAUAUAAAUUGACGCUGAGGCACGAAAGCGUGGGGAUCAAACA
rnacentral:rRNA from 1 species